AUACCUUCAACCUCACGAUUUGAUCGUCGUUGAGGCUUGGAUCAUGGAGGUUUAGCUGGACUUGUUUGAAGUGUCAGCUCCUCUGAAAUGCAUCAGCGAACCCUCUUUGACCUCUUUUUCUUGCUGGCUUUGGUUUGAUAAUGUCUAUGUCAUCGCCAUCUGUUAAUGAAAAAAGGUUGAUCGUAUUGUUUGCUCACAAUCGUCCUCUUGAAAGGGACAAGCAAUUUGAUUGCUUACUUUGACA
rnacentral:misc_RNA from 1 species